AAAAAUCGACCUGUCACCAUAACACAUUGCACCAACAACUCUUCAUGGAUUUGAAUUUGCAGCCAAAGGGACCUUGCUGCAGGUGGCAUUAGUACUUUAUGGUACCAUAUAUACCAUGCAGCUCCCCAAGAAGAAGAAUGGUGAGAUGGGUGUAUUUCUGUUGUCAACCGGGUGAGUGGAUUCCAUGCUAUGCUUGUGAAGUGAUCAGUCUUUUGCAGAUCAGUCUUUGUUUCGUUGUCUGUUCGACCUUGAACAUGCGUGUUUGGGAUUACAUAUUAAAACCUAAUUAGCUAGAAUUUCUUUGCUAGCUCCAUCAUGAUGCGACAAAAACAAAUCUAUUAAUUAUUAUCAUAUAUAUACAUAACCAUUCCAUGGGUUACAAAAUCCUAUGUAUUUCUUCUUAACACGAUUUUCUUGAUCAUUAAGAUCUAAAUCUGACGAGAAAGCUCUGCAGGUCAUCGAAAUUGGUGAUGACUAACACCCUGACUUCUUUUGUCUCUUUUUUUUUUACCUUGCUCUGCAGGUCAUCGAAAUUGGUGGUGACUAACACCCUGACUUCUUGUCUCUUUUUUUUUUAACCUUUCCUUUGUCAUGAGAAAAACAAUAUAAUUACUGAUCGGUGCAAGAACUAUAUAGUAAAAGCUUUGAGAUCAAUUGGGUUGCUAAAGAAAAAUAAAUUAGAAGUAAUUAAACCAUUUUUAUCCAAAAAGGAAAACCAAGAAUGAUAAAAUGAUAGUUCGAACAGAAUAAGAAGCUUUAAGGUCGAACACAUGACGAAUGUGAGGCACAAGCAAAAGACUGCUUAUUUGGCAAGUGUUUGCAUGGAAUUUGACGCCCUAGUUAAGUUUUGAAGGCAGCUCCGAUGUAAAAAACUACAACAAAUUUAAAGGGGUCAAGCGCCAAAGAUCGUCUUCCAACCAAAAUUAGUAUCCUCAGUUGUUGGAGUUUCGAUAAAGAUGAAGUUGGAAAACUCAGAUAUACGGAGCAAUGGCAUCCUGAUAGGAGGACAAGAACACCUUCUCUUUUGGGUGAAGCCAAAUGUAAAUUUCUUCAGCAAAUCCAAAAGAGGCAUUCAGCAUUAUCCGAUCAGAGGAAAUGAACAAUGCAUGAUGCAGGAUCAUAUGAACCUUUAGACGAAAAAGAAGAAGAAGAAGACGAUGAUGAUGGUGAGGGUAAGUCAUGGGUGUAACGGAUUUUUUGUUUUUUCUCUUAAUAAAAUUCGAUG